rnacentral:rRNA from 1 species
UGUUUUCCAGGCAAAUCCGGAAAAUCAAGGCUGAGGCGUGAUGACGAGGCACUACGGUGCUGAAGCAACAAAUGCCCUGCUUCCAGGAAAAGCCUCUAAGCAUCAGGUAACAUCAAAUCGUACCCCAAACCGACACAGGUGGUCAGGUAGAGAAUACCAAGGCGCUUGAGAGAACUCGGGUGAAGGAACUAGGCAAAUGGUGCCGUAACUUCGGGAGAAGGCACGCUGAUAUGUAGGUGAAGCGACUUGCUCGUGGAGCUGAAAUCAGUCGAAGAUACCAGCUGGCUGCAACUGUUUAUUAAAAACACAGCACUGUGCAAACACGAAAGUGGACGUAUACGGUGUGACGCCUGCCCGGUGCCGGAAGGUUAAUUGAUGGGGUCAGCGCAAGCGAAGCUCUUGAUCGAAGCCCCGGUAAACGGCGGCCGUAACUAUAACGGUCCUAAGGUAGCGAAAUUCCUUGUCGGGUAAGUUCCGACCUGCACGAAUGGCGUAAUGAUGGCCAGGCUGUCUCCACCCGAGACUCAGUGAAAUUGAACUCGCUGUGAAGAUGCAGUGUACCCGCGGCAAGACGGAAAGACCCCGUGAACCUUUACUAUAGCUUGACACUGAACAUUGAGCCUUGAUGUGUAGGAUAGGUGGGAGGCUUUGAAGUGUGGACGCCAGUCUGCAUGGAGCCGACCUUGAAAUACCACCCUUUAAUGUUUGAUGUUCUAACGUGGACCCGUGAUCCGGGUUGCGGACAGUGUCUGGUGGGUAGUUUGACUGGGGCGGUCUCCUCCUAAAGAGUAACGGAGGAGCACGAAGGUUGGCUAAUCCUGGUCGGACAUCAGGAGGUUAGUGCAAUGGCAUAAGCCAGCUUGACUGCGAGCGUGACGGCGCGAGCAGGUGCGAAAGCAGGUCAUAGUGAUCCGGUGGUUCUGAAUGGAAGGGCCAUCGCUCAACGGAUAAAAGGUACUCCCGGGAUAACAGGCUGAUACCGCCCAAGAGUUCAUAUCGACGGCGGUGUUUGGCACCUCGAUGUCGGCUCAUCACAUCCUGGAGCUGAAGUAGGUCCCAAGGGUAUGGCUGUUCGCCAUUUAAAGUGGUACGCGAGCUGGGUUUAGAACGUCGUGAGACAGUUCGGUCCCUAUCUGCCGUGGGCGCUGGAGAACUGAGGGGGGCUGCUCCUAGUACGAGAGGACCGGAGUGGACGCAUCACUGGUGUUCGGGUUGUCAUGCCAAUGGCACUGCCCGGUAGCUAAAUGCGGAAGAGAUAAGUGCUGAAAGCAUCUAAGCACGAAACUUGCCCCGAGAUGAGUUCUCCCUGACUCCUGGAGAGUCCUGAAGGAACGUUGAAGACGACGACGUUGAUAGGCCGGGUGUGUAAGCGCAGCGAUGCGUUGAGCUAACCGGUACUAAUGAACCGUGAGGCUUAAC